rnacentral:rRNA from 1 species
GGAGAGCACUUCUACGGGAGGCAGCAGUGGGGAAUAUUGCACAAUGGGCGCAAGCCUGAUGCAGCCAUGCCGCGUGUAUGAAGAAGGCCUUCGGGGUUGUAAAAGUACUUUCAGACAGUGAGGAAGGUGGGUAUGGUUAAUAGCAUACUCAUUUGACGUUAGCUGCAGAAGAAGCACCGGCUAACUCCGUGCCAGCAGCCGCGGUAAUACGGAGGGUGCGAGCGUUAAUCGGAAUUACUGGGCGUAAAAGCGCAUGCAGGUGGUUUGUUAAGUCAGAUGUGAAAGCCCGGGGCUCAACCUCGGAAUUGCAUUUGAAACUGGCAAACUAGAGUACUGUAGAGGGGGUAGGAAUUUCAGGUGUAGCGGUGAAAUGCGUAGAGAUCUGAAGGAAUACCGGUGGCGAAGGCGGCCCCCUGGACAGAUACUGACACUCAGAUGCGAAAGCGUGGGGAGCAAACAGGAUUAGAUACCCUGGUAG